rnacentral:rRNA from 1 species
UACGUAGGUGGCAAGCGUUGUCCGGAUUUACUGGGCGUAAAGGGCGUGCAGGCGGUUUGCUAAGUCUAGGGUGAAAGCUCCCGGCUCAACUGGGAGAGGUCCUUGGAUACUGGCGAACUUGAGGACGGUAGAGGUCGGUGGAAUUCCCGGUGUACCGGUGAAAUGGGCAGAUAUCGGGAGGAACACCAGUGGCGAAGGCGGCCGACUGGGCCGAUCCUGACGCUGAGACCCGAAAGCCA